GUUUGGAAAACUCUGCCCCUACCGCAAAAUCUCUCUCUUUCCCUCCCCCCACAAAGAGGCUCCCUUAUCUCUCACUUUACAUACCGGCCCUAGCCCUCCCGCCGCCCAGCUUCCCGCCCAGCAGUUCAAACUGACCAACAGUUGCCCACCACCUCGGCUUUUGGCUUCCCCACCCCCCAGCCCUUCAGCCCCCUAUAAAACAACCCUGCCCCUCUGAGCGGCGCGGCCAUUCUCCUCUUCCUCCCGGCUGGUCCGCCCGGAGGCUCUUUCCUCUCAAUAAAGCCUGAACUUAAGGAAUUUCCUCUAGCCUGCGGUCCGGUUUCUUUCCCAAUGAGCCCAGUCUUCCCGCAGAGGGUAGGUCGGACAAAUGGUGCCGGAAACCCGGGACGGGAGCUGAGGCCGUUGGCCCGGCCACGGCCCCCCUCCCCGACCUACCCAACACUGGCCCUGCCACCUCCACGUUCCGAUUAAGCCGAAUUCCAGAUGCUGCAAACUCCCCAUCGCCGCACCUGAUGAGCUGCCUUCCUACCCAUUGCCGUUGGAGUCUCCCUUGCUGGUUCAGCACUUGCAGCAGGAUUAGGAGGAGGGGCACUAGUCCACUCUCACCUGGCUAUGGCCCGACUGACCUCGCAAUUCCAAGCAGCUAUUGAUGACUCUACUGAGUCUUUAGCAUCACUCCAACGACAGAUCACCUCAGUUGCCCAAGUUGCCUUGCAGAACCGAAGAGCCCUAGACCUGCUCACUGCUGAACGAGGAGGGACCUGUAUCUUCCUACAAGAAGAGUGCUGUUACUACAUCAAUGAAUCCGGCCUAGUAGAAACCCGAAUCGAGAGCCUCCAGAAACUCAAAACUAACCUGCAGAGUCAGAAGUUCUCGGCUGAAGCCACAGCGUGGUGGUCUUCCUCUAUGUAUACCCUCUUGUCCCCAUUGCUUGGGCCCCUAGUAGCUGUUUGCCUAAUCUUACUUAUUGCUCCUUGCUUUCUACAGUUCCUAUAGCGGCGCUUUCAAGAACUGACUCGAGUCACCAUCCACCAGAUGCUGCUCCAACCCUACCCUGAACGAGUGCAAGAAACAGACCUCUCCCCGAACAUCCAGGCUCGUUAAGAAAAGAGACCUCUUCAGAACCCCCAUCGACCCUUGUCAGCAGGAAGUAGCUAGAGAGACAACCGACGCCCCUGACCCCCUCUUUUUCUUUUCUUUAAGGAGUCGGGAAUGUUUGGAAAACUCUGCCCCUACCGCAAAAUCUCUCUCUUUCCCUCCCCCCACAAAGAGGCUCCCUUAUCUCUCACUUUACAUACCGGCCCUAGCCCUCCCGCCGCCCAGCUUCCCGCCCAGCAGUUCAAACUGACCAACAGUUGCCCACCACCUCGGCUUUUGGCUUCCCCACCCCCCAGCCCUUCAGCCCCCUAUAAAACAACCCUGCCCCUCUGAGCAGCGCGGCCAUUUUCCUUUUCGUCCCGGCUGGCCUGCCCGGAGGCUCUUUCCUCUCAAUAAAGCCUGAACUUAAGGAAUUUCCUCUAGCCUGCGGUCCGGUUUUUCCCGAACGAGCUCAGUCUUCCCGCAGAGGGUAGGUCGGACACUAAAUGCUCUGACAAAUUUGAACAGAUGGAAGUGUGAGAUGAAAACUACCCUAUCUGUCCCUUCUCUUAGUAACCAGAGGUAAUAACUCUCUUGUAAUUCCUUCUAGGUAAUUUCUUAGCAAAUGUAAACAUAAGCAUAUAUAUACAGCUAUAGAUAGAUAUAGCUAUGUAGAUGUACAGACAUACAGUUGGUUGUAGUUUGCAUCAGAUCCUCGAUUAGCUUUUCUCACUUAAUGGUGUAUAUUAAAGAUCUUUCACACAGGCCUGUCACUCCUGGACUCAAGAGACCCUCCCACCUCAGCCUCUUGAGUAGCUAGAACUACCAUGCCCAGCUAUUUUAUUUUUUGUAGAGGCUAGCUCUCUCUAUCUUACCCAUGGUCCCAAACUCCUAGGCUCAAGCAAUCCUCCUACCUCCGCCUCUUGAAGUGCUGGAAUUACAGGUGUGCACUGCACCUGGUCUGUUUGCUUGAUUUAUAGCAUUUUCAUAUGUAAUCGUGUGAUACAUGGGUAUGCAUUUGUGUACUGUUACUUUAACCCUGCAAAUGUUAGGGGUGGGUCAUAUCUAAGUUUCAGAUCUCUUGUCAACCUGCUGGUGAAAAAUGGUGUAUGUAACUUUGUGUAUUUUAAAAAAUUAAUAAAGUUGCUGGGCACGGUG